GAUGAACGCUAGCGGCAGGCUUAAUACAUGCAAGUCAAGGGGGUAGCAAUACAACCGGCGCACGGGUGAGUAACGCGUACACAACAUACCAUAUACUGGAGUAUAGCUUUGGGAAACUGAAGGUAAUCCUCCAUAACAUUGCGAGAGGGCAUCUGAUUGCAAUUAAAGUUUCGGCGGUAUAUGAUUGGUGUGCGUUUGAUUAGCUAGUUGGUAGGGUAACGGCCUACCAAGGCGACGAUCAAUAGCUGGCGUGAGAGCGCGACCAGCCACACUGGAACUGAGACACGGUCCAGACUCCUACGGGAGGCAGCAGUAGGGAAUAUUGGACAAUGGAGGAAACUCUGAUCCAGCCAUGCCGCGUGAUAGAUGAAGGCCCUCUGGGUUGUAAAUAUCUUUUUAAUCUGGGAAGAAACACUCCUAUUCUUAGGAACUUGACGGUACCAGAGGAAUAAGCACCGGCUAACUCCGUGCCAGCAGCCGCGGUAAUGUA
rnacentral:rRNA from 1 species